rnacentral:lncRNA from 10 species
CAAGGACUCUCUUUGUUCCGGAGUCAACCGGCCUCGGUCCUGGGAUCGCUGAUUCCACGGAGGAGAGCCAUACCUGGGCGUCUCCACCCCCCACCCCACUGUCUCUGGAGACCAAGGCCGGCGCCGGGGGAGGCGGGUGUGCGGGCGCGCGAGCCGAGCCCUUUGUUCAGGAGAACAUUCCUCAGCGCCAGCCUCCCCACCUGGAGAGCCUGUGGUUCCUGUUUCAGGCUUUGCCUUGGAGAAACUCUCGCCGAGUAUGCAGCUCUCAAGCCUGGCUUCUGGCGCAUCCUACUUCAUGGCCUUCAACGGGUCCUUUGACCUCCCUGAACCUCAAUUUUCUCACUUGUAGAAUGGGAACCAAAAUUCUGACGUCGAAUGAUCGCUGUGAAAUUAAAUUAAAUGCCAAAACACAAAUGUAGAGUAUCUGCAGGCAUAAGAAUAUAAGCCCCAGGAGGAGAGG